AUGCAGGAGAGGUGCAGCGCGGGGUUUGGAGCUCCCACGAGCUGGGUGUGGCGCAUCCGACGGCGACAGACACAGGGACGCGUUGAUCCGGGUGUGGGUGCUCAAUUCGGUCCCGUUCUGGCCGGAUCCGCGGCGGUGCUCAUCUCUGGCGAGGUGGCCUGUGACUCGCGGGACGACGGCGGCGCAAGACCACAGGAGGGGCUCAUCUCAUGGGACAGGGGCGCGAGGUCUUGUUGGCUUCGGUUGCUGGUGGCUUGA
rnacentral:rRNA from 1 species